rnacentral:lncRNA from 1 species
CGCUUUUAAAUUAUAGUCUCAGCCCUGGAAAGAGAGAAUGACCCAGGAUACUGCUCAGUAAUGCACUCCACCAAUCACCUUUCAACUAAGGGCUCAGAAGGCACAGCUUUACUAUUUAAAGUGGGUCCAGAAUUUGAUAACACAUCAACAAAAGAAGAAAUCUAUGUCAUCCAGCCCAAUCUUCAACAUUCUCUAUGAGUCCCAGAAAGGGUGUGUGCCUUACCUUAGGUCACACAGCUACUAAUGGUCAAGUGAAUCUCAAGCACUUAACAAUAUCAAGCUCGCUGUUCAUAGCCAGCAUCAAGAACGAUAUUUUAGGAACCUGAGAUUCUUUUUCAUAAAAACCUGCCUUGAUUUGCUCUACAUGGGGCUACUACUCUUUCACAAGGUGCCCAAAUCACCUUUCCUGCCUUGUUAUCUUUUAAAGGAAGGAUGUAAGAAGCAGUGGGAGAGCAGGUAUCAGGAGAGGAGGAUCCUGAUAGAACAAGGAGACAGAUGGAGGCUUAGCUGGCUGCAUGCUGAACUGAGCACCUCUCUGGCAGGAGAGAAGGGAGCUGGGUCCCUGACUGUUUACUUCCAUGGAAGUUCACCUGAAUUCUGCUCCUGGGACAGAAUGGGAUAUUCCCGCCCAAUUCUGGCUGUGCACAUUUCUUCCCAAGAACCUCCGUCUCUGCCCUAUCUAUAUAUGGAAACACAUCUGACAACAGCAGCAGACAAGAAAGAUUUUUGUUCUCUCAGAACGCAGAAAAAUUCUCCGUCAGCAGCCGUUUUUUUCAGUGUUUGGUGCAUUGAUGUGUGGGCUACAUAG